UGGGGGAUUGAUACUCAGGCAGAGGAAACAUGCUCUGUUUGUCACUAAAUCUCCCUAAAAUAAGACUGCCUUCUGAUGACCGGGAUGAAUUGAGAGAAAUCAUAACGGACAGAUACGGGGCAGACAUAC
ensembl:scaRNA